UACAGAGGGUGCGAGCGUUGUUCGGAAUUAUUGGGCGUAAAGAGCUCGUAGGCGGGACCGUAAGUCCGAGAGGAAAUCUCAAGGCUCAACUUUGGGGCUUUCUUGGAUACUGCGGUUCUUGAGGAUAUCAGAGGAUAGUAGAAUUCCCGGUGUAGCGGUGAAAUGCGUAGAUAUCGGGAGGAAUACCAGUGGCGAAGGCGACUGUCUGGGAUAUUCCUGACGCUGAGGAGCGAAAGCGUGGGGAGCAAACGGG
rnacentral:rRNA from 1 species